UCUUUUGUUUUGCAAUAUGUUAGUGUAUUGACUUGCCAUGUCUUUGUGGAGACUCAAAUGUAACAGCAUAUAGUGGUUUAAUUCCAUGCAGUAAUAGUUGGAUGCAUGAAACAUGUUAAAGAAUAAAUAGAUGAGAAAAGCCUAGGGUGGCUUGAUUAAUUAAGUCAAAUAUACCUCUUUGACUUAAUUAGUUGAAAGGAAAGUACUUUUGAAACACUUUGUGCUGGGAAGAGAAUGCACUACUCACCGUCAUUGUCUUGUUUUUAAAAUGUUCACAGUGGCCCUGGAUGGAAUUUGGAGCAUUAAAAGGAAUCUCCCUGUGGGAGGCAUGAUACCAGGACAGCAGAGCAGAAACAGUUCACUCCCACAAGCCAAGUACUAUUCAAGGCAUGGAGGGCUGAGAAGAUAAGAUGGACACAUCCUUCCACAGAGAUGGAACUUUCGUUCUAACGUCCAAAGACAGAAAGAAACUCAAGCUUGUUUCUCAAUCUCAGAUGUAUGGAAACAAGUUUUUUAGUCUGUAAUACCAAUAUAUAAAUCAGUCCAAGCCACAAAAUACUAUUGGGGAAAUGUGCUAAGAAAAACAUACUUGUUUUUAGUUUUCACAGUUGGGAUGUAUUAAGCUUCUGUUCAGCUUAUUCUAUUAAAUGUAUCAAACAAAGGCACAGCUCUUCAUUUCAAAUUAAACAUUAUAAAAUCGAAACUCUA